rnacentral:rRNA from 1 species
UACGUAGGGGGCAAGCGUUGUCCGGAAUCAUUGGGCGUAAAGAGCGUGUAGGCGGCUCGGUAAGUCCGCUGUGAAAGUCCAGGGCUCAACCCUGGAAUGCCGGUGGAAACUGUCGAGCUAGAGUCCGGAAGAGGCGAGUGGAAUUCCUGGUGUAGCGGUGAAAUGCGCAGAUAUCAGGAGGAACACCAAUGGCGAAGGCAGCUCGCUGGGACGGUACUGACGCUGAGAUGCGAAAUCGUGGGGAGCAAACAGG